rnacentral:piRNA from 1 species
UCCACUGCCUUGGUGUCUCUGUACUCAAU